GAAGGGAAGUCCUACCUUGUGUCGUGCUCCCUGUUGAGCUCCUGCGAGACAGAGACGCAGUGGGUGUACCUCGCCCACGAGGUCCUCGGCGGCAAGCGCCUGGCGGUGACUAUGUACUUAGGUAAUUUAUCUUCUCCCACUUGCCAUUACUAUGUCAAUGUAAUUUGCACUUCUCUCACUUCCACACGCGACUGCUUGGGCGAAUGGAGCGAAUAGGGGCUUGUGCUGCUACACAGGCAUGACAUAGUAAUGUAGCGAAUGGAGUGAAUAGGGGCUUGUGCUGCUACACGCGACUGCUUGUUGUAUGACAAGAAGAACAACAGGUCGAUGCACUCAACUAUCUUCACAACCACAGCCAUCCAUCGAUCGUCCACAGCGACCUGAAACCAAGCAACAUUCUUCUUGCAGAUGACAUGAGCGCCAAGAUUGGCGAUUUUGAACUUUGCUUGUGCUGCUACUUUAUGGUGCUUAUGAAAAACAUAUAACCUAUUUGUUUUUAGGGGUGAUCAUGGUCAGGGAUGAGUCAAUUCAUUGAAGACAUCAUGAGAAUGCUAUGGUGUUGCCCAGUUUCAUUUAAGUCCAAGAAGCUGGUGAAGAUGGAGAGUAUCAAUGGGACAUUGGAGAAGAUGGCAAACUAACCACCGAAAGUUGUGUCAACUACAUCAGAUUUGGAAGUCUGGGUGGGGCAUGGAGAUCAGAGCCAACAUGUCUCUUCACCUGCCAGUUCUCAUAUGAAGAGUGGCUGGAGUAUGAAUGCAAAACGCGAGGCAUUGAGUGCAUCCGUGCCAUGGGAAAGUAGGAGGACAAAUGGCAGUUCGAGUAGUGCUGCUCGUUUAGCUGAGAUUGAUUGAUGUGAUGAUGUUGCUUAUGGCAGGGCACAAACCACAAAUACACACAAACCAGAUGAGAAUGCCUACCAUUUGUUUCUGUAAAAAGUUGUAGAAUUCACAACACAGGGAGAAGAAAAAUCACUUACAUAUGCCCAAACUUGGUGCCCUGCUCAAUUUGCAGAUCAUACACAAAAGUCAUGAUACUGCAGAGUACGCUGAAGGCUGCGCGGUUUCUCCCCUGUUCGUG
rnacentral:lncRNA from 1 species